rnacentral:rRNA from 1 species
GAUGAACGCUGGCGGCGUGCCUAAUACAUGCAAGUCGAGCGAACAGACGAGGAGCUUGCUCCUCUGACGUUAGCGGCUGACGUGUGAGUAACACGUGGAUAACCUACCUAUAAGACUGGGAUAACUUCGGGAAACCGGAUCUAAUACCGGAUAAUAUAUUGAACCGCAUGGUUCAAUAGUUAAUUACGGUUUUUCUGUCUCUUUUAGAUUCAUCCGCGCCGCAUUAGCUAGUUGGUAAGGUAACGGCUUACCAAGGCAACGAUGCGUAGCCGACAUGAGAGGGUGAUCGGCAACACUGGAACAGAGACACGGUACAGACUCCGACGGGAGGCAGCAGUAGGGAAUCUUCCGCAAUGGGCGAAAGCAUGACGGAGCAAAGCCGAGUGAGUGAUGAAGGUCUUCGGAUCGUAAAACUCUGUUAUUAGGGAAGAACAAAUGUGUAAGUAACUAUGCACGUCUUGACGGUACCUAAUCAGAAAGCCACGGCUAACUACGUG